UAUGUGCAGCUUCAUGCUGCUUCCGAUGCUCCUAACGCCUUUGUUCACGAUGUUUUGGCCCUCUGUGACCUCUUCACCGACACACGCAAGGACGACGCCACUGUUCAGGUCCCCGUUCCCAAGGCACGUUGUGGUGGAGGAACUUGCGUCGUGGGACUUGUUCUAGGAAUGAAGAGGAGCUGAAUGCAUGCUUGAAGGAGGGGAAGUAGAAGGGAUUUUCGGUUUCUGAUGCUUCUUCUCCAUCCUAUAUAGAGAACCCCUCAUUCAGCUAGCAAGUGGCCUCUGUCUUCAACGGCAAGCUCAACAUACUUGUCAGUCUUUUUAUGUUUUGCAUAUAUAUAUUUGAAAAUUGUAAUAGUUUGGGACUAAGAAAUUCUCGUGCUUGGUAAUGUAAUUCUGCCUAGGUGGAGACCUCCAUACUCUUACCAGGGAAGCAUUUUCCUGAGCUGACAGUAAAGUAUGUUUAAGUUAACUCAAUCUUGGGAGAGGGCAGUAUUUAGAUAUUAGAUUAUGAUAUUUGUCCAAGAAGACCAUUGCUAAUGCUACUAGCUACUUAGACAGUUAGACUAUUAUGCAUCUCUAUAGUGAUAUCUAGCUCUAAUUGUCUUAAACUCUUAAUUAAUUGACAUUGUUUCUUAUGCUACUAUCA